GACGAACGCUGGCGGCGUGCCUAAUACAUGCAAGUCGAACGCUGAAGGAGGAGCUUGCUUCUCUGGAUGAGUUGCGAACGGGUGAGUAACGCGUAGGUAACCUGCCUGGUAGCGGGGGAUAACUAUUGGAAACGAUAGCUAAUACCGCAUAAUAGUAGAUGUUGCAUGACAUUUACUUAAAAGGUGCAAUUGCAUCACUACCAGAUGGACCUGCGUUGUAUUAGCUAGUUGGUGGGGUAACGGCUCACCAAGGCGACGAUACAUAGCCGACCUGAGAGGGGGAUCGGCCACACUGGGACUGAGACACGGCCCAGACUCCUACGGGAGGCAGCAGUAGGGAAUCUUCGGCAAUGGACGAAAGUCUGACCGAGCAACGCCGCGUGAGUGAAGAAGGGUGUCGGAUCGUAAAGCUCUGUUGUAAGAGAAGAACGAGUGUGAGAGUGGAAAGUUCACACUGUGACGGUAUCUUACCAGAAAGGGACGGCUAACUACGUG
rnacentral:rRNA from 1 species